CUAAAUAUCUUCUCCUCCAAAUUUCCAAUCGGAGAGGGCGAAGAGAUAAUUAAAGGCGGAGACUUCGAGAUUGCUGGCUGCCCUGGGCUUUCUGCCUUCUGCGAUGCUGUCUCAUCUACUUGCCCUGCCCGACCUGAUUGCAAGAUAAGGGAAAGAGAGGAGAACGGGGUCAGAUCUGACGACCUCUCCAUGUAGGUCGCUGGUCGGAGCUUGGAUGGGGAAGAAGGAGAGUUCGAGAACUGGUCCUUCCCCUAUUUCAUCCCAAACCGGAAAGGUAUAGAAUCGUAUCGCUGAGGAUAGGAUUCGGAAGAGACUAGAAGGGAUUGGUGGUAAAUUUUCUCUGACUUUGGCUGGCUUGCUGACUUGGGCUGACAGAAGAGAGUGAGCACACGCCGGCGAUGGCAGCAUGAAGGGAUGCUGUUCCCGUUGCGUGCUCACUUCUCUUUCUGUCAGCUUCCCUUGCCUGCUCUAUUUAUUGUUCUCUUGUGUUUUUUGAUGGAUUAUAAUGGAAAGAAUGUUGUCGUAAAAGGGCGAAAGAGAAAAAGGGCGGAGGCCACGCGCGGUGGCAGGGCCUUAUCCUCCGCCUUAUCUCGGGUCUAUCAUCGUCUUUAUUGCUGCUAUCUUUCUUUUCUUUUGUUUUGCCCUUCUCUCCGUCUGUCCGUCAGCUUUGUCCGGGACGUCUCAUCUCAUCGGGCCGGGCGGAGAUGGAGGGUUUGCCGAGGAGGAAGAUGAUGUAAUCCUGUACAGCAUCCCUUGGGAGGAUUUUUCUUUCAAAGUUCUUUUUUUUUCUCUUUUGGCUGAAACGUAUAAAUUGGAUGUUCGAUUUUAUUUUGGAAAUUUCUUUUUGUUGAAAGAAAAUUGGGGGGGAAAAAAGAAAGAAGGGAUAAUUGAGACGGUGGAGCACGGAAGCGUGACUUUUGAGAAAAGCUCCUCUUCCCCCCUUUCUCUCUCUCCUCCUCGUAGGGAGGGGGAAGGGAGGCAAUGGUACACCUCUGCCCGCUGUGCGGAUUUAACGGAAAACACUGUGAACCAGUCCUUCCUCCCUCCCUCCUCCCGACCUCCUGGUUCUUCUGUUUUUGGCCAGGACUUGAGCCAUUGGCUCGGAAUCGGGAAGGGAAUCGAGCCAUGCAAAAGAUUUCAGCAAGCCGCGAACAUCUCCGGCCGAGCGAUUUAUAACUCAUGUGACUUUUUGCACUCUAAUGGGGAAGAGCCGCCGCUUGCUUUGGUGAAGGGCCAAGAAGAGGGCUGGAGGAGGACGGGUUACAGACUUACAGUUGCUAAUAAUGGAAAGUUCACGGCUUGUACACCCCACCCCCCCCUCUCAACCACAAGAAUAAGAAAAGAAAGCUAGGGGCCUUUCUUUGGUCGGUUCCCAGAUCUGGGAUUCAUCACAGAUGAAGGGAAUGAUUCGGUGGAUGACUUGGAAGGGAGGGGACCCCUUUCAAAGAUGGUGGAUGCUCCAGUGAUGGAACCUCUGAGUUCUUUAGAGCAUAUUUGACCUUAUGCCCAAAAAACAAGCAAUUGGUAGUUGAUUUCUCGUAAGAUCAUUUUCGAGGACUGUGGAUUUUCAAGGUUAUGCUUAUCUGAACUUGGAGUGGUCAUGCCUGCUGAUCUUCACAAAUACUUCGUAAAAAUCUGACUUUGUGAAGCCGCUUUCAAGCAAGACAUUUAAUUGAACAACCUGCAGUUUGCAGAAGACACACAAACCCGGAGUGCAACUAUUCAUAUGUUUUGUAAUAAUAAAGAAAGAUGGCCACUUCUACAUGCUGAGACCCUGAUUCUACCCAAAGAUCUAGAGAUCUGCAUUUGUGGGCUUCUUCAGUACUAUAUAGCUUCAUCUUCAUAUGCUUGAAAUUGUCAGCAAUGCAAUGAGUGCCUGUUGCUGAACAAAUUCUGAAUGUCUUCAAUCUUAUCAAGGCCUUUUAUGAAUAAAAUGUGGCUCCAUGAGAGAUCCAAAACCCUUAGACAUUUGGCAACCUUUCCAUUUUCUUCAACAUUGAAACCUUCAAAAUAAUUUUGCCUGUUGUGGCAAAAUAUCCAUUGUAUUAUGAGAGCACCAACUAACUUGGAUAAUUGUUAUGGUGAGUGGCUGCUAUGAUGCUUGUAUGUUUACACGCAACAAAUUCCAUACUGCAUUGAUGUUCCUCUAGAUAUCUUAUAUGCAUUCAUCAAAAUGGUAGUAUUUGUAUUCAGUCACAUGACAAGCUGUAUUGGACUAUUAUAACUCAUUUUAUUUUAUGAUAACUCACGCAAGACUAAUGAGCAUAUUUGUAAAUAAAAUUCAAGAAAACGUUAUUCAAUGUCACGCAAGUAUAUGAUAAGCUCCUGCAUGGCUGCAUCACAAUAUCAGCAUGCAAAUAUCAAACGUUACAUUUUUGCACACUGUAUCAUGUGAUACUAACUUUCAUGUGGCAUGUAAAAAAAAAAGUGCUUUUCUACUUCUUGUCUGGAAACCAAGAUUCUUCCUGCAUCUAUUCUAUUUGUAUUAAAUCUGCAGCAAAUAGGUUCUAUAAAAUCAUGUGAACAACUUUCCAUCAGUACGCUCCCUUGGACAAGGUACGUUUUGGUUAUGGUUUGUGUAGAACCUAUUGUUGGGAUCCCUUCUGACUAUUCCAUUGUGGUUCUCUCAAUAUUUGUCCUGGAAGGAUGAGCCUGCUUCAUCAACAUUCAAUGGAACUAGCAUAUUCACUUAACUUAGGGACUAAACUUGUCUUCUCAUUUAUUAUUUAUAAGUAAAUAUUAGAUGUUCUCUAAAUGUUACAUACAUGUCUGUGUUUUUCUUGCAGUAAGUACUGGUAACCAGAUGGAAAUGGUGGGAAAACAUUGUCCGUUCGAAUUAAAGUAUUCUUGGACCUAGUUUUGUUAUGGCAAAGUCAGUUGGGUUGAUUUACAUUAAUCUGAUGGAAUUUUAAAAUCAAGUAAUAACUUUAAGAAAAUAAAGACUAACAUGACUUUCUUCUGAAUGCUUUUUUAAAAAAAAACAUAUGUAACUAGACAUCACCGUUGCUACAGUCGUAUAUCUCCAUGUUUACCCAACAAUCCGAUGUUUUGAAAAACGAAAAAAUUACACUAUGACAAAACUUUGAAACAUGCAAAAGUAGACAUCGCAAUUGCAAUAAUUGUAUUUUUCAAUUUGCUUCCUUUUAGCCAUAUAUGUAGAAAGGAAAUUACAUCAUCCAGAAAAUUAGUUUACAGUUCACUUUUCAUUUAUAACUAAUCAAAUUUAGGAAAAUUAAGCACCCGACAUAAGGGAGUUAAAUGCUUGCAACAAUGAAAAAUUUUGUCCUGGGCUUUGAUUGAAAUUCAUAAUGCUGAGUUUUUAAACUAAGCUCAGGGUAGCAAUCUGGGUAAUGCCCUAGUGUUGUUGAAAAGAGCUUCUAGAAAAUAUAGACACAAGAAAAGAAGAGGAAACAUCCCUAAACAUGGGAUGCUUGCUUAAGCCAAUGAACUCUGGGCAUUUAUCCAUUAAACCUUGGGGAAGUAAAAGUUGGAAGGCAUGUAAAUUGCGCAAGUGUGAAGUUUUAUUUUUGAAGUUACUUUUAAUAUUUAAUUACUGCUGCAUAAUCUGAAAAAUCUUUUUUUUUUUUUUUGAACGGUCCAAAAUUACAUUGUUAAAGGUAUCUUCGGUUAUACUCCCCCCAAAUGUGGCUCUCUGGCGGGUAACUGCAUUUGUAUGGCAGAGUAAAGUGGAGUUGCUCCUACAUCAAGUUUAAUGAUAAUUGUCUCGAAUUUCUAUAUAAAUUUGUAUGACUUUAUUGGAGUUAUCAAAUUAUUUUCUUGAAAACCCAGUUUAAUGUCAUAUCUUUUUCUCAUGAAGGAAACUUGAGAAAAUUUAUAUGGUUUCAAGUUUAUAUUAUACUAAAUUUGGUUUCAAGUUUAUAAAAAUUAUUGACAUCCGACCAGUAUUUGCUUUGCUUUUCUGCACUUCAGUACUAAAGUGAAUCUUUUUCCUGUAGGUUCCAAUUGCAUCACACUGGUAUCGGCUUCAAAUCAAACAAAGAAAUUUGUAGCGGACCAAAAAUAUAUGUUAAAUGCCUAUUGCUGCAGUCCACUGUGUAUGAUUCUAUUGACUGCUUCUGCUAACAUUGUUUAUCCUUGAUGAAAAGGAGAGGGGAACAUCCAAUUCAUCGAGGACAUGAGGUUUUGAAAAAACACAGCCAGAACAGGAAUAGAGGCUAGGAGAUACCUUCCCCUGGAUCCAAAUAAAAUAGAUUACAGCAGUUAGGAUUGUGGAUUAACACUUUGUAAAAGUUUGUUUCUAAUAUUUUGUAAAAGUUCACGGUUCUCUAGCAUCAAGGUGGUCGACCAAUCUGGAGCCUUUGUAAUUCUACUAAUUUUUAGAUAUAAGAAGUCAUGAAUUACUUGAUUCUCUCAA